rnacentral:piRNA from 1 species
AAAGGGAAGGUGCUGUGAAGAGG